AUUGAACGCUGGCGGCAGGCCUAACACAUGCAAGUCGAGCGAGCGGCGGACGGGUGAGUAAUGUAUGGGGACUUCCCGUUAGUGGGGGGUAACUCCUGGAAACGGUAGCUAACUCCGCAUAUUAUCGGAUAAUGCAUAUGGGAUUAGCUAGUAGGUGGGGUAAUGGCUCACCUAGGCGACGAUCCCUAGCUGGUCUGAGAGGAUGAUCAGCCACACUGGGACUGAGACACGGCCCAGACUCCUACGGAGGCAGCAGUGGGGAAUAUUGCACAAUGGGCGCAAGCCUGAUGCAGCCAUGCCGCGUGUAUGAAGAAGGCCCUAGGGUUGUAAAGUACUUUCAGUCGGGAGGCGUUACCGGCAGAAGAAGCACCGGCUAACUCCGUGCCAGCAGCCGCGGUAAUAC
rnacentral:rRNA from 1 species